AAUCAGCCGUGUGUUUUGCAGAGGUGCAGCGGCUGCAGGAGCAGGUGAGGAAGCUCCAGGCGGAUGCAGCGGAUGAGGGCCGAAGACGAGCACACAUUGAUUCUCUGGAAAAGAAGGCUAUCCAGAAGAGAGAUGCCCUACUGAGACAGUCCGAGGCUGAUCUUCUGCAGGCACAGGAGAAGAUCCGAAGCAAGGCAGCGGAGGCAGAGAGGCAGGCCAUCUCUGCUCGAGGGCUGGAGGCUGAUCUGCAGAGAGCCAAGAAAGAGAAAAGGCAGAGGGAGAAAGAGUGCGCCUCACUCAAAACACAGAUGCUUCAGCUCAGAGAACAACUGAAGGAGGCUCACGCCACCUGCAGAGACACGGCCCAAGAGCUGAUGCGGCAGCAGGAGAAAGUGCAGCUGUUGGAGAGAGGUCAGCGUCUGGCUCAGGAGCAGCUCUCAGAGCGUGUGACGGAGGUGGUGCAGGCAGAGAAAGCCCAGAGGAGACUCCAGGCAGAGCUCAAGAGAAUAACAGAGAGUCUGGAAAGCACCCAACUGGAGCUCCAGGACUCACGGGGGAUGCUGGAGCGUGUGAAGACAGAGGCCAGCAGCAGCAGACAGGAAGCCCUGAGACUCCAGCAGGAUAAACAGCAGAUCCAGGAAGAACUGGACAUCAGCAGAGAGACCAUCUCAGCCCUGCAGAC
rnacentral:lncRNA from 1 species